UCGGGUCCGCCCGUCAGUCAGUGUGGGUCGUUUCUGGGUCGCGCUUGCCUCGCGUCGGUCGAGGCAAAAUAUCUUCUCCGCGCGAAACCCUACCUCACCCAAUCGCGCACCCAGCUCCUCCCCAAUCCCCUCCCGUUCUUCUCAUGGCGCGUCUGGCGGCGCUGCUCCGCCUCCCUGGCUGCCCACCCUUCUCCUUCUCCCACUCCCCAUCUCCAACCCCCAGCCCCCGCGCUGCUCUGCCUCCCUCGCCGGCCGCCGGCCAGCAGGAGUAGCGCACCGCCGGCGCAAGCAGGAGGGGCUGCUGGAGCUCCGCCCUUGAUGGUGAUGGCGGACUCGAGCUCACGCCGGCGACCUCCACAGGAGCAGCGCGGGCGACCUCCACAGCGGCAGCGCGGGCGACCUCCCUAGCCGCGUUUCUGGAGGCAGAGGACGGCGCAGCUCCACCACCUCGCCCGCAGCGCAAGGACACCCGCUUCCUGCUCCUCUUGGCCAGCCCUGUCUCCUGCACAGCCUGACGCCUUCCCCACCAUGAGAAGACAGGGGAGAGGACUUCAUGGUCUGCAACGUCCAUCCAUGGCCCCUCUACAUGGAGCGGCAGCCAGCCAUGUCCAGCUUCCUCUGGCCCAAACCAUCUCUCCACGUCCAUGCCUUUGCUGAUUUGAGAUGUGUUUUUGCAUCUAUGCAUAUGAACUGUUUGAGGAAAUGUCUAAGCAGGCUGCAUAUAAAUUGUUUGAGGAAAUGUCUAAACAGGUUGCACGAACAAAAUAUCUACCUUUUUAGGGCUAUUUUGUCAUCUUUUCUUACAUAUGAUGGUCAAGCUGGUUAUGUUUCUUACCGUCAGAGUGAGAAUCUUAACCCUUACAAUGGUGGUGGUUGUUGUCUUGUACAACUUGCCACAAAUCAGUGAUUGCACAUGGUGCUCAAUACACAUACUCUAAUUUAAAUGUUUUGUUGUUGAUGCAUUGCAUUGCCGAGGUACUGAGAGCAGCUACCUUGACAUAGGGCAUGCUCCCGAGGAAGGGGUUGAGGAGGUCAGGGUGAGGGGCAGAGAGAGACUCCCCGAGUUUUAGCUUGUGGCUCUGGUGUACUGGACAAAUUAGGUUCAGUUUAGAGCCAUUGAUCUAUCAUAAAGCAUGAUGAUAAAGCGGAUAAGUGUUAUUUAUACCAUGGCAUCACAGGUUGCCGACUCUGACCUUGCCGCCCAUUAACAGCCAGGUGUUCGAGGGAAACUACCAGGUUGGAGGAUUCAAUGCGUGUUGGGUGCCCAUACAUAGUGCAGAUUUCUGCUGGAUUAAUUAUUCUCUUCCACAUUCUUGCUUCUGUUGGAUAGAGCAUUGGGCACUUGAUAUGUUGUGUAGACUUUUCUGCUGGGAGCAAAUUAUGCAUAUAAGAUAAUGACAUGGCUAUGACGAACACGGAAUGGUCAUCCGAUCAUUCCAGGUGUAAUUUUUUUAUGUAUGGUACGCUAAAAAGCACGGAUACGGCAGAAACUGACGAACUGCCGUCCUGAUACGGCGGGUUACGGCGGGAUACGUCCAAAUGGGGCAGUAUUCUCUUUUCUGAUCUCUUUCUCAUUAAUUUUCUGUCAUAACUUUAUAUUACAUGGCAUGUAUUUUUUAUUUUAUAUAUACUCGCCGUAUCCCCAAAUGGCUGUUUUUGAAAAAUGCCGUAUCCCGUAUCCCCAUCUUUCUGUCCCCGUGUCCGUGCUUUUUAGACGGUACGGGCUAUGGGAAUACUUCAAUCUUCAUGCCCUUGUAUUAUGUGAAUUGAUAUAGUUUGAUUACAGAGUAUCUUGCCAAAGCAUUACUACGAAUUGUGUAACUUCCUGACCAUAAGCAGCAGAUAACCUUGUUGUAUCAUGCAGCGACAUACUUCAUUUCACCUCGUUUGGAAACAAUAUUUUGUUUGGCGAGGUGCUCAAGACGCUGGAAAGUAUUUGUUUUAGCCAGCGGAGUCUCUGGUCAUAUAUCCCUCUGUUCCAUGAAAUUGACCCGAAGGACCUAUUGGAAAGCAUUGGAAAUUUGAGCAAGACCACCAUCAUGUGAUUGAAAGUGGAUUGGUUAGGAAGGAGGAGUGUGGCCGUGCUUGGUGAUUAAAGGCUACAACAACGAUGUGGCUGGCUGGUUGUUGACUACUCCCUGGUGCAGAAGAUCUCCAUGGUGUUGUUAGGCCGUGGAUGUGUCCUUCGGUAUGUCCUUGUUUCUUGUGCUCUGGUCCGUUCAUUUUCUGGCGAUGCUGAGCUACAAGAUGAGACUAACGUUAGUGGGAUAUGAGGUGCUUGGUCAGAAGUUCAUAAGGUGUCUUACAGAUCAGGUCUGUGAUGUUUCUUUCCCGGUCACAGUUGCUAGCCCCAGACCCAGCCAAUGAAGUUAGGCUGGCAUGCCAUCAUGAUCAAAACCUGAUGUAAAGUGUGCUCUGUUUUCUACAUUGCAACAUGAGAGCAUAUGAUUGACUUGAAUUUUCAACAUUAAGAAAAUAAGGCCUUCUGAACAGAUGCAGCCCAUGUAUCAGUCAGAUACAGAACCAAAACAAGAUAUAGAUCAGUAUAGAUAUGAAAAACUCUAUCGUCCUUAUAAGAUGGUAUCAUGCAUACAUAACAAGUUACGCCGGAGGGUAACCCACACUUGACGGGCUCGUGUGGCAAGGCCCUCCAUCCGUGCCUCACAUCAGACAAAGAGCAGAUCUGGACGAAAUCAAUCACACAGGAAAAGAUCCUGAGAUCGACAUGAAGCAAGGACACAAGAAGGCAUGAAGAUCAACUAGCAGCCGCAUGUGAUCAUGGCGGACCUAUUGUUCAACAUUGACGACAAGCCGCACCUGAAAUGAUGGUGAGGUAGAAGGUACCCCUCCAAGACAGCCUUGAAAGGGAACAUAAUGUACCCGAGGACACGAGAUGUGCAUACUGGUGCCCAAUGCAAUCUUUCUUUGCUAACUUAUCUCUCACAGGCAAUAAAUAUUUCAGAUAUGCUUAUGUUCUGUCCCUUCUCACCAAAGAUAAAAUUGUCUGACUUAAAAAAUAUAACCAAGAAACAAAUAACUGAUUCCCACGUUUGGGAGAUCCAAAAAUGUUCUAGCUUAUAUAAGAACAAAAUUUGUUGCUUCCAGUAACUAUAAGUAUGAGCUUCAGUAGUUAUGGAGAUUUUUAUGUCAA